GUCUUUACUUUGGCAGGAUAUAUUAUAAAAUUGGAAUGACAGAAAAGAUUAGCAUGGCACCUAUGCAAGGAUGACAUGAAAAUUUAUGAAACAUUCCCUAUUUUU
ensembl:snRNA U6 U6 spliceosomal RNA